CCUACGGGUGGCAGCAGUGGGGAAUAUUGCACAAUGGGGGGAACCCUGAUGCAGCGACGCCGCGUGAGUGAAGGAGUAUUUCGGUAUGUAAAGCCCUAUCAGCAGGGAAGAACAAUGACGGUACCUGACUAAGAAGCCCCGGCUAAAUACGUGCCAGCAGCCGCGGUAAUACGUAGGGUGCAAGCGUUAUCCGGAUUUACUGGGUGUAAAGGGAGCGCAGGCGGCGCGUUAAGCCUGGUGUGAAAGCCCGCGGCCGAACCACGGGACUGCAUUGGAAACUGGGGAGCUGGAGUGCAGGAGGGGUAGGCGGAAUUCCUAGUGUAGCGGUGAAAUGCGUAGAUAUUAGGAGGAACACCAGUGGCGAAGGCGGCUUACUGGACGGUGACUGACGUUGAGGCUCGAAAGCGUGGGGAGCAAACAGGAUUAGAUACCCCUGUAGUC
rnacentral:rRNA from 1 species